rnacentral:tRNA from 1 species
GAUCCCGUAGCACAGCGGUAGCGCAUCCGCCUUCCGGGCGGAGGGCACUGGUUCGGUCCCAGCCGGGACCG